rnacentral:rRNA from 1 species
CAAUAGCGUAUAUUUAAGUUGCUGCAGUUAAAAAGCUCGUAGUUGGAUUUCGGGUGGGAAUGGCCGGUCCGCCGUUUCGGUGUGCACUUGCUACGCCCACCUUGCUGCCGGGGACGUGCUCUUGAGUUCACGCUCGGGACACGGAGUCGGCGAGGUUACUUUGAGUAAAUUAGAGUGUUCAAAGCAGGCCUACGCUCUGAAUACAUUAGCAUGGAAUAACACGAUAGGACUCUGGCCUAUCUUGUUGGUCUGUAGGACCGGAGUAAUGAUUAAGAGGGACAGUCGGGGGCAUUCGUAUUUCACUGUCAGAGGUGAAAUUCUUGGAUUUAUGAAAGACGAACUACUGCGAAAGCAUUUGCCAAGGAUGUUUUCAUUAA